AGAGCGAACGCUGGCGGCAGGCUUAACACAUGCAAGUCGAGCGGGCGUAGCAAUACGUCAGCGGCAGACGGGUGAGUAACGCGUGGGAACAUACCUUUUGGUUCGGAACAACACAGGGAAACUUGUGCUAAUACCGGAUAAGCCCUUACGGGGAAAGAUUUAUCGCCGAAAGAUUGGCCCGCGUCUGAUUAGCUAGUUGGUGAGGUAACGGCUCACCAAGGCGACGAUCAGUAGCUGGUCUGAGAGGAUGAUCAGCCACAGUUGGGACUGAGACACGGCCCAAACUCCUACGGGAGGCAGCAGUUGGGAAUAUUGGACAAUGGGCGCAAGCCUGAUCCAGCCAUGCCGCGUGAGUGAUGAAGGCCCUAGGGUUGUAAAGCUCUUUGUGCGGGAAGAUAAUGACGGUACCGCAAGAAUAAGCCCGGCUAACUUCGCGCCAGCAGCCGC
rnacentral:rRNA from 1 species